AUUCCGCAGUGCUGGAUACUAUGCUUUACUCUCAAAACUAGACCUUGAAUGCAAGAAAGCUUGGGGGGCUACUUCCAGUGCAUCGUGCAAGGAAAAUAUGACCAUAAAUGACCUGUUCGCCUUUCUUUUCGAUCGGUUUGAUGCGUUUAAGUCUUGUCAAGAUCCAACAGUAGUCCAUGAUACUCCCACUGUGCUGAAUAGACGUCGUGCAGUUUUUCAUCAUGCGGACGUGCCAACUACGUCUGUUCGUAAUUGCGUGUAUUGUCACGGGACACACAGUCUUUAUGCGUGCACUGAAUUUAAUGCUAUGAACGUUGUGGAUCGUCGCCCGUUUGCAAUGAAGGUGAAAGUCGAGGCACCACACUCUUGUCCAUCCAAAAGAGAUCGUCAUUACACCGAGUACUGUUGUCAAUACAUCAGCUGACCCAAACUUACGCUCGUCCACACAUUCUGCUGAGGCUGAUCUUGCCGUGGUCAGCCAUCAUACAUUUUUGAGAGGAUUGUUGGCCACUAGUCAAGCCAUAUUGCCAACGAUUUAAGUCACUAUAGUCGACUCAUGGGGCAACGAGGCAACCUGUAGGAUAUUGCUGGAUACUGUUUCAACUUUAACGAUGGUCGCCGAGUCGUUUAUUCAAGUCGGAUUAUUCGUAUACAAGUGCCCAGAGGAUCGAGUCAAACACUACCCUAAGUGGUAAACCCACAUUUUGUAAACCAGGCGAAAUCGUCGUGAUUUUGGGAGCUGAUCAGAGCUGGACAACGCAAAGAGUUUGGUUUAGCAUAUCCUAUUGCACUUCAUACUAAUUUUGGUUGGGUCAUUACAGACAGCUACCAUCUCUUUAGUGAUGCUCACACCCACGCACUGGAAAACACGCUCACGAGGAUCUGGAUACCUUAGUUCGAUCGUUCGUACCAUUGACGCUAGUCCCGCUGAGCAACACUUCGUGCAAACGCUUACCCACAGAGACCAUCGUCCAAUAUCCGUUCAAGGAUUCCGCUCCGCCGAUGGGGUCCACAUUGUCACAGUUAAUUUGAAAAUAUUUUUUUCUUUAAUUUCAUUAUAAAUAAUUAAAUGAAAAUUUUCUCAGUUACAUAUAACAUUUUGAGUAACAUCUUCGUAUUCAGAGUCAGUAUAUUUCGCUUAAACUCGAGGUUUUAACUAACAGCCAAAUAUACACAUUUUUUACUGUACAGCAAGUGAAAAAAUAUUGGUUUAUGACAUGGACUUGGAAUCUAUCUGCAAAAUUGAGGAUUUAUAACAUUAUAGGUCGUCCAUCCGAAAUUUCUUGCCUGGUACCAUUCAAAAUCGAAAACGACCGACACAGUUUUAACAAUUAAGGAAUAGAUUUGUACACAAAUACGAAUAAAAAUUGAAGUAUCAAUGCUCUUCUUGGGUUUUUUUC